rnacentral:pre_miRNA from 1 species
AAUAAACCAAUCUUUCACUUGGUACCUAUACUUUUUGACUCUUCGUCUUAUUUAAAAUUUUUUUACGAUUAACAUUUUUGUUUUUAUUAGAUGAUAAAUCAUGAAUAGUACUUUACAUGUGACUAUUUUUUAAAAAAAUUUCUUGAAAUUUUUUUAAAUAAGAUGGAUGGUCAAACGCUGGACACGGGAACCGAAAAGUUGCCUUAUU